rnacentral:pre_miRNA from 1 species
UCUUAUGAACGAACAAAGAAAGCAGUCUCUUGAGAUGGAAUCUACUCCUGGUGAAGAUGCUGUGAA